UUCUCUUCUCCUUCCUCUCCUCUCCUCUCUCCCCCCCCUAAAACGGGAGAAUUAUUUUUGAAACAAAAAAAAAGAGCUAAAAGAUGUAAAAAAUUUUGAAAAAAGAAAAUAAUAAAAAUUAAA
rnacentral:ribozyme from 13 species